rnacentral:rRNA from 1 species
GUAGUCAUAUGCUUGUCUCAAAGAUUAAGCCAUGCAUGUCUAAGUAUAAGCAAUCUAUACGGUGAAACUGCGAAUGGCUCAUUAAAUCAGUUAUCGUUUAUUUGAUAGUACCUUACUACUUGGAUAACCGUGGUAAUUCUAGAGCUAAUACAUGCUAAAAACCUCGACUUCGGAAGGGGUGUAUUUAUUAGAUAAAAAACCAAUGCCCUUCGGGGCUCCUUGGUGAUUCAUAAUAACUUAACGAAUCGCAUGGCCUUGUGCCGGCGAUGGUUCAUUCAAAUUUCUGCCCUAUCAACUUUCGAUGGUAGGAUAGUGGCCUACCAUGGUUUCAACGGGUAACGGGGAAU